ACUCAAAUGAAUUGACGGGGGCCCGCACAAGCGGCGGAGCAUGCGGAUUAAUUCGAUGCAACGCGAAGAACCUUACCUGGGUUUGACAUCACCGUUAAAGCCGUGGAGACAUGGUGUCCUUCGGGGGCGGUGACAGGUGGUGCAUGGCUGUCGUCAGCUCGUGUCGUGAGAUGUUGGGUUAAGUCCCGCAACGAGCGCAACCCUCGUUCGAUGUUGCCAGCGGGUGAUGCCGGGGACUCAUCGAAGACUGCCGGGGUCAACUCGGAGGAAGGUGGGGAUGACGUCAAGUCAUCAUGCCCCUUAUGUCCAGGGCUUCACGCAUGCUACAAUGGCCGGUACAAACCGUUGCGAGCCCGUGAGGGGGAGCGAAUCGGAAAAAGCCGGUCUCAGUUCGGAUCGGGGUCUGCAACUCGACCCCGUGAAGUCGGAGUCGCUAGUAAUCGCAGAUCAGCUACGCUGCGGUGAAUACGUUCCCGGGCCUUGUACACACCGCCCGU
rnacentral:rRNA from 1 species